rnacentral:rRNA from 1 species
UGAGGAAUAUUGGGCAAUGGGCGCAAGCCUGACCCAGCAACGCCGCGUGGAGGAAGACGGCCUUCGGGUUGUAAACUCCUUUUACGGGGGAAGAGGAAGGACGGUACCCCGAGAAUAAGUCACGGCUAACUACGUGCCAGCAGCCGCGGUAAUACGUAGGUGACAAGCGUUAUCCGGAAUUACUGGGCGUAAAGCGCACGCAGGCGGCGCCGUAAGUCUGAUGUGAAAUCUCCUGGCUUAACUGGGAGGGGUCAUUGGAAACUGCGGUGCUUGAGGCGAUGAGAGGGGUGUAGAAUUCCCGGUGUAGUGGUGGAAUGCGUAGAUAUCGGGAGGAAUACCAGUGGCGAAAGCGGCACCCUGGCAUUAGCCUGACGCUCAUGUGCGAAGGCGUGGGGAGCGAACGGG